UGGUUGACCUCGGAUCAGGUAGGGAUACCCGCU
rnacentral:rRNA from 1 species